rnacentral:rRNA from 1 species
GACGAACGCUGGCGGCGCGCCUAACACAUGCAAGUCGAACGGAGAAUACAGAAAGCUUGCUUUUAGUAUUCUUAGUGGCGGACGUGUGAGUAACGCGUGAGUAACCUGCCUCAUAGAGGGGGAUAACGUCUGGAAACGGACGCUAAUACCGCAUAAAAUAACGAAAUCGCAUGGUUUUGUUAUCAAAGGAGCAAUCCGCUGUGAGAUGGACUCGCGUCCAAUUAGCUAGUGGUGAGGUAACGGCCACCGAAGGCGACGAUUGGUAGCCGGACUGAGAGGUUGAACGGCACAUUGGGACUGAGACACGGCCCAGACUCCUACGGGAGCAGCAGUGGGAAUAUUGCACGAUGGGGAAACCCUGAUGCAGCGACGCGCGUGAGGAGAAGGUUUCGAUGUAACUCUGUGUAAGUCAGAACGUGUCGUGGGAGACG